UACAGAGGUGGCAAGCGUUGUUCGGAAUUACUGGGCGUAAAGGGCGCGUAGGCGGUCUUGUAAGUCUUGUGUGAAAUCCCUCGGCUCAACUGAGGAACUGCACGGGAUACUGCGAGACUUGAGUUCGGGAGAGGGAAGCGGAAUUCCGGGUGUAGCGGUGAAAUGCGUAGAUAUCAAGUGGAACACCAGUGGCGAAGGCGAGUCUCUGGACAUUUCCUGACGCUGAGGCACGAAAGCCAGGGGAGCAAACGGG
rnacentral:rRNA from 1 species